AGAAUCAAUUGUCUGUAGCCACAGCAACCAGGUCAGCAGGAAUGAAUUUAUCGAAAACAUUGAGAAUCGCUGCAACCAACAUGGAGGACCCAGAGAUCAUUACUUUUACUGGGAAAUUAGAUGGAUCUUGUUGGUUCUUCUACUCCUUACAGUUUGUAAUCUACAUAUAUAUAUUCACAAGAAAGCAGGUGACAAACACAACUUCGACAACAAGGUGGUAAACGAACAAACUGAAACAUUGAAUGAAACGGCUGAAGAUGAAGUUCGUUUUGCAAACCCCACCAACAGCACAGGUGAAUCUUCUAUGACUGCGGGAGCCACCAGUACUAGAAGCAGUGACCAAUGAGAGAAUGUGUAUUCACAGAUAAAAAAAAAACUUCUAAAUGACUGAACUGGUGACUUUGAAAAGAACUGGAAGAUCUGCGAAAAGUCCAGUGUGAUGUGAUAAGAUGUGGUGAGAUGAUACCAUUUAUCCUGUGAAAAGUGAUUACCCUGGACAGGGUUUGUAGCUGAGCAGCCAGAUAGUUUGCCAGCUAAUGUUAGCUUUCAGCUGUGGAAUAUCUCUGUAAUUGUGUAAAGGUUUACUAGUAUAGCUUUCAGUCUUGCUGUUGAGGAUGAGGCCCCAUGCAUAUUCACCAGCACCACAGGAUGUGACAUGUUUCCUGUAAGGACCACGUACUGCUAAAUAUUAUAGGGUGGAGCUUUGUAACUAUGUCUCAUCCAACAGUAUCAGAAGGACUCAUGCACAAAAUUCAAAGUUAGUGUGUUUUGCACUGAUCAGUAGCUGAUCACACCAAGCUUUAACAUUGGUUUCACAAGUUAUGUUGCAAGUUUUUUUAAUUUUUUUUAUGUGAACUGCUGCUCCUCUCGGUUCCUCAUUGCUAAAUAUGUCACCAUCACUUCUCUUUUUUAUUCUUCAACCAGAAAAAACUGUUAUUAUAGCUCUCAGUAGAGAGCAUCCAUUUGAAACUCACAAACACACAUAUCUACUUAUAUAAUGUAUUUAGUACUCACAGUAACUUUAUGAUGUAUAAAUUAGACAACUGGUUGUGUUGAAUAUGCAUCAGCAGAGACUAGGGCAAUGAAUCUCUUGUGUGCACAAAUGUUAGACAAGUUUUAUUUUAACUGCUUGUUUGCUAAACAUAAAAUGUAGAGAUGAGAAAAAAGCCAAAAAAUAACUUACUGUUUUUUUAUCAUGUAUAAAAUGGUAAUAAAUUACACUUUAAUUCUUGUUGAAACUUGGUGUAAUGAAGUUUUGAUUGCCAACUUUAGCAGGCUUCAUAUGGGCUUUCCAACAAAGUUAAUAACUGAUUAAGAUUUUAUCCUGACAAACAUAACGAGGUGUUAAACCUUGUAGACAA